UACGGAGGGUGCGAGCGUUGUCCGGAAUCACUGGGCGUAAAGGGCGCGUAGGUGGCGCGGGCAGUCAACGGUGAAAGUUCGGGGCUUAACCCCGAAUCGGCCGUCGAUACUCCCGGGCUUGAGCACUGUAGAGGCUAAUGGAAUUCCGGGUGUAGCGGUGGAAUGCGUAGAGAUCCGGAAGAACACCGGUGGCGAAGGCG
rnacentral:rRNA from 1 species